GAAAGAAAAAACGGUCACAUCCCAGAUCCAGGAGACCCCGGGCCACAGCGCUGCGGGAGUUAGCACUCAGUGGCUAUGGGAAGAGAAAGAACAGCUUUCCUGGGGGCUGCUCUGGGCCUGGGGUGCUCCUGUGGCCUCUGAUCUCUCAGGGAGCCAUGAAGGAGAUUGGGCUGGAAAAGUCUCUCGGAGGCUCGCUGGGACCCUGAGGGGAAAAGGGCCUUAGGGUGGGUGAGUGGGCAGGAUUUGGAGAAAGUUGCCCCUUGACUUACAGCAAGAAGUGGAAGGAUUAGAAGCCAUUAAUUCCUGGAAUUGUUCUCUGGAGUGUAAGUGACAACAGCUGUAGCUAUCUGCUCAGUGUCUUUCCACAUGGACUCCCCUGUACAAGGGACGCAUGAAUACACACAGCCAAAUGGGGUGCUGCCGAUUCCACGUGGGAGCAAAGACAGGCCUGCCACCAACUGACAGACAGACAGUCCCAAAGCAAUCAUCUGGACACUCGAGAAAAUGGCCUUAGUCCUGAUUCCCCUCUCUCUUACCCAUUCUCAGGCAGGCACAGGCGGAGAGAGGGAGACUUUCCCAUUUGCUCUGAUUAUGGAGAGGCCCUUUGAAAGUAUCACUCUGUCCUCACAAAGGGCUAAGUUUCACGUUAAUCCAAAUCUAACCUCUCUCAGCCUCAAUUUCCCCAUCUGAAAUGAGGAACUGGAUUAGUCAUCUCAAGGGGUCUUUCUGGCCUUUCAAAUACAAAGCAAACUAACAGAUAAAAUCUCCUUUCCUCUAUCAUCAGGGCUGGGCUCAGUUAAAACUCAGAAUGAAAAGUUGUCAGAGAAGAAUUAUAAAUUUCUAUUAAAAUAGCAAUUGUAAA
rnacentral:lncRNA from 1 species